GAUGAAGAACGCAGCGAAAUGCGAUAAGUAAUGUGAAUUGCAGAAUUCAGUGAAUCAUCGAAUCUUUGAACGCACAUUGCGCCCGCCAGUAUUCUGGCGGGCAUGCCUGUCUGAACGUCAUUUCAACCCUCAUGCCCCUAGGGCGUGGUGUUGGGGAUCGGCCAAAGCCCGCGAGGGACGGCCGGCCCCUAAAUCUAGUGGCGGACCCGUCGUGGCCUCCUCUGCGAAGUAGUGAUAUUCCGCAUCGGAGAGCGAUGAGCCCCUGCCGUUAAACCCCCAACUUUCCAAGGUUGACCUCAGAUCAGGUAGGAAUACCCGCUGAACUUAAGCAUAUCAAUAAGCGGAGGA
rnacentral:misc_RNA from 1 species